rnacentral:lncRNA from 1 species
CAUUGGUUGGAGAGUUUGCGUCAAAAAGUUGCCAGAGAGGCGCUUUCUCAGCAAAUCUCCCUGAGAGCGGAACCGACCUCAGCUCCAACUCAGCCUCCACCGUUAUUAAAAAUAAAAAUCGCUAGAGAAGCCCUCCUCAAGUCUACUUUGAUAGCUGGCUAUUUGGAAUUUUGAAGGAUAAUUUGAUUUUUUUCCUCUAACCCCCCAUGUGGCUGUAAGUUCCACCACUCCAAACCCACCCACCAAGGACUCUGAAUCUGUCCAACCCGGGCGAAGCGAGACCUUCCGGCUGGGUCCCCCGGAUUUGGGCCGACUUUGCGCCUCCAAACAACCUUAGCAUGAUGUCUUAUCUUAAGCAACCGCCUUAUGCAGUCAAUGGGCUGAGUCUGACCACUUCGGGCAUGGACUUGCUGCAC